rnacentral:lncRNA from 1 species
CUGACGACAGGUGUGAUGGGUGACCCUACACCUGCCUGCGGCGGCGAACCGCUGCCGGGAGUUAGCCGGCAUCACCUGACCCUCCGCGGGAUUACCGAGAGGUGGUGCGGCGGCGUCUCCCUCACGUGACCGGGCUCGGCGGCGUCGGCCGCGUCACGCUCCGCGCAAAGCUCUGGGUCAGUCAAGGUCUGCGCCUGCGCCGGCUGGCAGGCCCACGAACCUGCCGGCGGGCCGCUACCAGGCGUGGAAGCCGGGCGCCCGCGGCGAUGGGGAAAUCCAGUUAUCACAGUUGACUCUGGAAAGUGAACCUAACAGACCAGUAACAAUGGAAGAAAUUGAGAAGGUCUUUGUAAAGCUACCAUCCCCCAAAACACCGGGCCCAGGUGGUGUUUCAGGUUAAAAAAGUCCUUUGUGAC